GGUUGAUCCUGCCAGUAGCAUAUGCUUGUCUCAAAGAUUAAGCCAUGCAAGUCUAAGUACACACGGCCGGUACAGUGAAACUGCGAAUGGCUCAUUAAAUCAGUUAUGGUUCCUUUGAUCGCUCUCACGUUACUUGGAUAACUGUGGCAAUUCUAGAGCUAAUACAUGCAAACGAGCGCUGACCUCCGGGGAUGCGUGCAUUUAUCAGACCCAAAACCCAUGCGGGGUGCCUCUCGGGGUGCCCCGGCCGCUUUGGUGACUCUAGAUAACCUCGAGCCGAUCGCUGGCCCCC
rnacentral:rRNA from 1 species